rnacentral:rRNA from 1 species
ACUCCUACGGGAGGCAGCAGUAGGGAAUCUUCCACAAUGGGCGCAAGCCUGAUGGAGCAACACCGCGUGAGUGAAGAAGGGUUUCGGCUCGUAAAGCUCUGUUGUUAAAGAAGAACACGUAAUGAGAGUAACUGUUCAUACGUUGACGGUAUUUAACCAGAAAGUCACGGCUAACUACGUGCCAGCAGCCGCGGUAAUACGUAGGUGGCAAGCGUUAUCCGGAUUUAUUGGGCGUAAAGAGAGUGCAGGCGGUUUUCUAAGUCUGAUGUGAAAGCCUUCGGCUUAACCGGAGAAGUGCAUCGGAAACUGGAUAACUUGAGUGCAGAAGAGGGUAGUGGAACUCCAUGUGUAGCGGUGGAAUGCGUAGAUAUAUGGAAGAACACCAGUGGCGAAGGCGGCUACCUGGUCUGCAACUGACGCUGAGACUCGAAAGCAUGGGUAGCGAACAGGAUUAGAUACCCUGGUAGGAUAGCG